rnacentral:rRNA from 1 species
CUACGGGAGGCAGCAGUGGGGAAUAUUGCACAAUGGGCGCAAGCCUGAUGCAGCCAUGCCGCGUGUAUGAAGAAGGCCUUCGGGUUGUAAAGUACUUUCAGCGGGGAGGAAGGGAGUAAAGUUAAUACCUUUGCUCAUUGACGUUACCCGCAGAAGAAGCACCGGCUAACUCCGUGCCAGCAGCCGCGGUAAUACGGAGGGUGCAAGCGUUAAUCGGAAUUACUGGGCGUAAAGCGCACGCAGGAGGUUUGUUAAGUCAGAUGUGAAAUCCCCGGGCUCAACCUGGGAACUGCAUCUGAAGUGGCAAGCUUGAGUAUCGUAGAGGGGGGUAGAAUUCCAGGUGUAGCGGUGAAAUGCGUAGAGAUCUGGAGGAAUACCGGUGGAGAAGGCGGCCCCCUGGACGAAGACUGACGCUCAGGUGCGAAAGCGUGGGGAGCAAACAGGAUUAGAUACCCGAGAAGUC